rfam:Eubacterium siraeum 70/3 draft genome.
GAGAACUAACAAUCCGAGAGGUGGAAUGAUGGGGUAACGCCCUGAAACGCCCCCUUAAUACUCCGACUGGCAUUUCAACAGAAAUGUGACUUGUCAGAAGCUCGGUGAAGUCGGCUGAGAGUAGCCGUAUGGAUUGCUGGAUAAAUACCAGCCUCACGAAAGCUGUCCAGAGGUGGACGGUGCUACCUAUAGGCCGGAGGUCUACAAA